rnacentral:piRNA from 1 species
AUAGUGUUCACAAAGCUGUAUGGU